rnacentral:rRNA from 1 species
UGGGGAAUCUUGCACAAUGGGCGAAAGCCUGAUGCAGCGACGCCGCGUGUGUGAUGAAGGUCUUCGGAUCGUAAAGCACUUUCGGCCGGGACGAAACACCCGGGGGUCAAUACCCCUCGGGCUUGACGGUACCGGCAGAAGAAGCAACGGCUAACUCUGUGCCAGCAGCCGCGGUAAUACAGAGGUUGCGAGCGUUGUUCGGAAUUAUUGGGCGUAAAGCGCGUGUAGGCGGGACGGCAUGUCGAAUGUGAAAGCCCUCGGCUCAACCGAGGAAGUGCGUUCGAAACUACCGUUCUUGAGUAUCGGAGAGGGUGGCGGAAUUCCCGGUGUAGAGGUGAAAUUCGUAGAUAUCGGGAGGAACACCAGUGGCGAAGGCGGCCACCUGGACGAAUACUGACGCUGAGACGCGAAAGCGUGGGGAUCAAACAGGAUUAGAUACCCUGGUAGUCCACGCCGUAAACGAUGAGUGCUAGUUGUUGUGGGUGUUGACCCCUACAGUGACGCAG